AAAAAAUGUAGAGCAAUAUGAAAACAGUAUGAACAAAGAAACUAAAUUGUCACAGAUUAUAAAUUGAAUAAUUUUUUUCAUUUAACAAAUAGAAAAUCAAAUUUACUUUUUUCCUUUUCUCAACAGACAUGUAUAAACCAAAAUGAAUAUGGGAAAAUUCCAAGACAUAAUAUGACAAUAACUAUGAAGGUAGUACUAUAUAAUUCCAACCAGAACAAGUCUAAGGUAUGCAUUUGCCAUCACCAAAAACAGAGACCUCAGAUCAACACCAGGGCCGUAAAGACAACACAUCAUGAAAAUGCAGGAACAUCUUAUAAAAGCACAAACC
rnacentral:lncRNA from 1 species